AAAUUGAAGAGUUUGAUCAUGGCUCAGGUUGAACGCUGGCGGCAGGCCUAACACAUGCAAGUCGAACGGUAACAGGAAGCAGCUUGCUGCUUCGCUGACGAGUGGCGGACGGGUGAGUAAUGUCUGGGAAACUGCCUGAUGGAGGGGGAUAACUACUGGAAACGGUAGCUAAUACCGCAUAAUGUCGCAAGACCAAAGAGGGGGACCUUCGGGCCUCUUGCCAUCGGAUGUGCCCAGAUGGGAUUAGCUUGUUGGUGGGGUAACGGCUCACC
rnacentral:rRNA from 1 species